UCCUCUUGAUAAGCAAAAUCGUCUUGCGUUAGCCAUGCAGAGUAAAAUGAACAGCAUUAUGGUGCAACUACAGUACCCAUCAAAUAUUAUUCUUUCGAGUGAGAUGCCACAAAAAUCUUGAUAUUUACCCAUAACCUAUAACAUGGCAGUACCCUAGUAUAUUACAUGAACUUGUGGUUGGAGCUUGACAACUGGCCUUAGCUCAGUUGGUUGGAGCACUGCACCGGAAUCGCAGACUUUAACCAAAGUCAGUCCAUAAAUAACUAUUUCAGUGUAUAAUUAACCCGUUAAUUUAAACCACAAUUAAUUAUGCACCUCAGUAGACACAGGUACUUUGUUAGCCCUCUGGGUCAUAUUAAAUCGCUAUACAGGGUGUAUAAAAAAACGCAACCUCGGAAUUUCCUAAGAAAUCCACUUUGCAAUUCUUAAGCAUAAAAGAUUUUAGGCCCCUGGGAAUUGAAAUCGAAUUGCUAAUAGAUCAUAUUACUGUUGUUGUACUGUACUCGCGUGUGCAGUAAUUUUGACGGUUGUGCUAUUUUUAAUUCCCAGGCGCCUAAAAUCUUUUGUCCUUAAAACAAUGUAACCUCGUACCCAGGGCCUUUGCGCGGUUCAGAGGCUCCAGAAACGCGAAAUAGGCGUACCGUAAGAGUUUGGAAUCCAAGUGAGAAUAUAUACAUUUUAAGACCUAACCAGGAACGACUGCGAAAAAUGCAGCACAAGGUCCUCUGGUAGGAAUCGAACCCACGGCCCCGCGACUCCGAUGCAGCGCUCCAACCAAGGGACUAGGCUCUAAGUAUGGGAAGCCUCUGAACCACGCAAAGGCCCUGGGUACGAGGUUGAAAACAGUGUCGAUUUCUUGGGAAAUUCCGAGGUUGCGUUUUUUUAUACACCCUGUAUAAACAUAUUUUAUAUAAUAACGUUAAGAAUUCAAGCGCUUUCAUUGGUCGAGAGUCAUGAUCUAUCACAGACGCACGGAAUUACGUCACAGGUGACGUGACUUAAGGUAGCCAAUAGCUUUCCCUUAUUUGUACAGAUCAUGUACACGGGAUAUUUGUAAAAUUUCGACUUUUUCAAAUUUCCAAAUUCUGGGUGGAUAAAAAAGUAAGCUAUUUAUACCUAUUUAAUUCGGAGGUGGCUACUUAUUUCUUUUUCCCACAUUCCGGCGUCAUACUGUGUAUCUAUAACUGAAUAGACAACGGCAAAAUCUUAUCUAUUUGUUAGUAUUACAUGAAUUUUUAGAUAGUAAUAGAUUAUAAUGAAAUUGUAAUA